rnacentral:rRNA from 1 species
UGCGUAGACGGUUACAUAAGUCGGGUGUGAAAGCCCCGGGCUCAACCUGGGAAUUGCAUUCGAGACUGCGUAGCUAGGGUGCGGAAGAGGGAAGCGGAAUUUCCGGUGUAGCGGUGAAAUGCGUAGAUAUCGGAAGGAACACCAGUGGCGAAAGCGGCUUCCUGGUCCAGCACCGACGUUCAGGCACGAAAGCGUGGGGAGCAAACAGGAUUAGAUACCCUGGUAGUCCACGCCAUAAACGAUGAGAACUAGACGUUGAAGGGGUAAGCCCUCCAGUGUCGUAGCUAACGCGCUAAGUUCUCCGCCUGGGGAGUACGGCCGCAAGGUUGAA